rnacentral:rRNA from 1 species
CUACGGGGGGCUGCAGUGAGGAAUUUUGCGCAAUGGGGGAAACCCUGACGCAGCAACGCCGCGUGAGUGAAGAAGGCCCUUGGGUCGUAAAGCUCUGUCAAUGGGGAAGAAGUUACUUGGUAUUAAUAGUGCCUUGUAUUGACGGUACCCAUGAAGGAAGCACCGGCUAACUCCGUGCCAGCAGCCGCGGUAAUACGGGGGGUGCAAGCGUUAUUCGGAAUUAUUGGGCGUAAAGGGCACGCAGGCGGUCCUGUCAGUCAGAUGUGAAAGCCCGGGGCUCAACCCCGGACGUGCAUUUGAAACAGCAGGACUUGAGUACGGGAGAGGAAAGGGGAAUUCCUGGUGUAGAGGUGAAAUUCGUAGAUAUCAGGAGGAACACCGGUGGCGAAGGCGCCUUUCUGGACCGAUACUGACGCUGAGGUGCGAAGGCGUGGGUAGCGAACGGGAUUAGAUACCCCCGUAGUC